rnacentral:rRNA from 1 species
CCACACCUAAAAAACUGUCCACGUGAACCGUAUCAACCCAAGUAGUUGGGGGCGUUACUGUUCUGCGCAGGCUGUCGAUGUGAAAGUCGGCGGCUGGUGCGGGGCGGUGAUGCCCUAUCAUGGCGAAGGUGUUGUGUCCCUCUCGGGGGACGUGAUGUCGGCUGCCCUCUGUUUUAAACCCAUUCCUAAUAACUGAUUAAUACUGUGGGGACGAAAGUCUCUGCUUUUAACUAGAUAGCAACUUUCAGCAGUGGAUGUCUAGGCUCGCACAUCGAUGAAGAACGCUGCGAACUGCGAUACGUAAUGCGAAUUGCAGGAUUCAGUGAGUCAUCGAAAUUUUGAACGCAUAUUGCACUUCCGGGUUAGUCCUGGGAGUAUGCCUGUAUCAGUGUCCGUACAUCAAACUUGGCUCUCUUCCUUCCGUGUAGUCGGUGGAUGGAGACGCCAGACGUGAGGUGUCUUACGUGUGGUCUUUGUGGCUGCGUGUGAGUCCUUUGAAAUGUACUGAACUGUACUUCUCUUUGCUCGAAAAGCGCGACGUUACUGGUUGUGGAGGCUGCCUGUGUGGCCAGUCGGCGACCGGUCUGUCUGCUGUGGCAUUUAAAGGAGGAGUGUUCGAUUCGCGGUAUGGUUGGCUUCGGCUAAACAAAACGCUUAUUGGAUGCUUUUUCUGCUAUGGCGGUACGGAUCUGGUGAACCGUAGCUAUUCUAGGCUUGGCGUUUGAACCGGUUUUGUUGUUUUGCGAAGUAGAGCGGCGGCUUCGGCUGUCGAGGGUCGAUCCAUUUUGGAACUUGUGUCUGGUUGGCGCCUUCGGGUGCUACCGUGGCAUCUCAA